AGAGUUAAAGCGACCUAAGAAAUGAUCAAAUCUAAUCCAUUCAUUUUCCAGAUGUGGAUAUUGAACCCUGGGAAGUGAGUUCUUCCUGAGUGGUCUGCAUGGAGUCCAAAAUUGCGUUUUUACUUGUUUUCUCCUCCAGCAUACGGAAAAUGAAAUGAUCACUGAGGCAAGAGUCAUCUAAGUCCAGGAGCAAGAUAAAAGUCAGACUGACUUGCGAUGACCGGGUUGGAAUCUUCAAUGUCUGACCAAACUCUCAGAGCUCCACAGCACCUACUUUAGCUGCCUUUGGGAC
rnacentral:lncRNA from 1 species